CUAUAAGGGCAGCAUCAUUCUGAGGCAUGACUACAAGAGAGAGGAGACAGCCAGAGACAUGCUGGAAGAGAAAUCUGGUCCAUCUCCUGAUUCAGCAUUAGAGGUCUGCACUUCAGAAGGCUUUUGACACCUUGACCCGGGGCCCUGGAGCCUCCGCCUCAGAGGUGGCGUGGACAUAUAUUCUGUGCAGGCCUGUGCUGGAGUCCCAGGACAUCGUGUUGAACAAGAAAGACAAGUUUCAUCUAAUCACGGCCAGGGUGGGACCAUAAGGAGAGCAACUGCGCCAUCUGCUGGGCCUGGUUCGCAAGUACCUACUGCACCCAGAUCAAAUGACCUCUGUGAGCUUGUGGAAAGUAAGACCCAAAUGAAGAGUUACUGGGCCUCCCCAGUGGCGCAGCGGUUGAGCGCUGGGCUGUGAAGCUGCCCGCAGCCUCUGCAGCGCCGGUUCGAUCCCUGGCCACUGGCGAGAGUCCCACAUGGUGCGACAGACCUGUCCUGCUGCGUCCGCUGCUCCCCUCAGCAGUGUAUUUCAUCAGUCUGCCUGUUCUCCCUGCUCUGGCUCUGGUGAAUUCCCUCACCCUCCCGCGCUUCUGACUGUACCCAG